UGCCUGCGGAGAGAUGUUGAAAGAAUGAAAAAAUGAACUUCUGAUGGGAUUUGAAGGCUUAUAAAAGUAGAAUAACAUUAACUCGAUCUUUUUUCCUAUUGAUACCAAAAAAAAAAAAAAGUGAAGUUUAUGAAACAAUGUGAAAGUCUUAUUUUGGACCUAAGGGACAGCAUUUCCUCUGUUUCCCAGGGCAAGGUUGAAUGUUGGUCUUCGGAUCCGCUCUGACCUCCUAAAGGGCCCUUAAAUCCCAUUGACCUCAAGGGAUGUUGGCUACUUUGUUGGUCUGGUAGUGGUCUUACAACAAAACAGCCUUUUUCAGGGCAUCGCUUUUGUAUAUAGAGCUUUUAUGUAAGCUUUUAAGCAGCAACAUCUGAUCUUAUGAGUUGCAUCCCUUUCUCUCCACGUUUGCCUGAACUUUUCCAUUUUGGAGCAAGUUACUGCUCUCUCACUGUUUCUUUGUAUACCUCUUAACACAAUGGGGGCUGAAUGAUUUGGAAGUAGUGCUGUAAUUUAAAAUAAUCACGGCUGUCAAUGCAAGUGCCAAUUUCUGGUCUAAUGGGUUUUCCAGAACUGCUACAUAUAUAAUCUGUAGUUUGUUAGGUUUCAAAUGUAUUCAUAGGCUGGGAAGAGUUUGGGCUGUAAUUUAUUUCUUAGCAAAUAUACUGAUGGAGUAGCUUCCAAAAGAAGGAGGAAGCUUUAUCUCUGCGUGUUUGCUCCUUUCUGUAGAGGAAGCGGAGCAUUUUAUAUGGAGAGAUGGCUGGAGCAGUGUGUUUGUGCUCAGGGACUGAGCCAAGAUGCCUGUGAUGCAGUACGUAAAGAGUUGCAUAACGUGUAAUGAAGAAAUUGAAACUGAGUCUCUGGGUGCAUCAUGCUGAGUAAGAGGCUUGUUCUACAAGAAACUGUCAUAUUAAAUUCUUGUCGUGAUUCCAGACCCCUUUGAUUCCUAAAUCUUUUGGAGGAGACUAAUCUGAAAUCAAAGUGAAGUUGCUUGGGGUUUGCAUGCCAGAAAUGGUCACAUUUGAAAAAGUUCAGUGAACCUGCAGAGGGAGGUUGAAAUUCGUUGCUUCACUACAAAGCUCGCAGCUAACAUACCUGCUGGUUUCCUUUCUGCUUUGAUUCUUCAGGCUCUGCCUUCUUCUGAGUUGUUUUCAAAAUGCAUAAAUCUUCAGGAUGAGCAUGUCCUGGUUUCAGUCUUUGUUCAGGGAAAAAACAAAAAAGGAAAUCAGUCCACACUGGUACAGGGUAAAACAAACAUGAGACUGCAUUUUGCGCCUCUGCCUUGUCCUCUGUGCAGUUUUUUCCCUCUCUGAAGGUGUAUAUCACACUUUACUCUCCUGUUUUACCUACAUUUGACCUCCUUUUGUACCAAGGUAAAUGGAAAUGGUCCCUUUCACGUUCUGAGCAGCUACUGAGGGCUCCCACCUUGAUCCCCAUAAGAUGACUGCUCCUUUGAAACCACGGGAGCAGUGCCAGGAAUCUAGCCCUACAGCCCGUUAUCCCUGCUGAAUGCCAGCUUCUUUCUUCAAUUUGAUAUUGGCAUUCGGGGGGCUUUGACCACGAACAUCGUGAGAUAUGAAGUACAAAUGGGAACAUUUCCAGUUCCAGGUUACUUUCUGCCCCUCCAUAUCCCCUCUGAACUUUGUGUGGGCUGCCAGGAGCCUGGGGAUGAGCUUUUUGGUCCAAACAAAA